rnacentral:pre_miRNA from 1 species
UAGCUACUACCUCUGUUUCAUAAUUCUUGUCAAAAUCUUACAUGUAUUUAGACAUCUUUUAGGAAUAGAUACAUCCAUUUUUUAACAAAUUUGAGACAAGAAUUAUGGAACGGAGGGAGUAGAUU